CGUCGUCUUCCGGGUUUCUGUUCGCCGCUCGGGCUUCCUGGUGUUCCCCGGGCGCCUUCAGUCCUCCUGCCUUGCCCUUCAGCACCGUGAUCACGUGGAACGCUGGUGGGCCGACCCGAGCUUUGCCUGAUGAGUGCCAGAACUAACAGUUGGGACUCAUGCAAAACAAUAUUCCUGGCACUAUGUGAAUCAAGAUGAGAACAAUGCCAGAGGAAGACACAUCACCCUGCAGUGCAGCAACUAACUGGCCCCAGAAUCCUUCCUGUUCAACAGCUGAGCAAAGCCACCAGGUGGACAGAAAUACAUCUAUUCACCUGAUGGAGCACCACCAGCAGUGAGUGAACCAUAGCUCAUAUGUACGUCAAGCCAACACCCUUCCCUCUCCGCAGGCGGUGCUGAGCACAGGAGGGAGGUGUGAGUGCUGAGUCCAGGAGGGUGAGGAUUCUGGAUGUCAUUGAUCAUCAGCAUGACCACUUGAAUCCAGUCUUGAUUCGUAAGACUUCUGGUUUCUGAUUCAAGGAUCUACAAGGGCUACAAUGAAAUAAUCAACUAGGGGCUCAAGUUUAAAUUUUUUGCAACCCAUUUCCUCCACAGCCUGUGACAUACCCACUCACCACUACACAUGCAGACCCAGACAACAUACCAUUGCUUGUGUAGUAUACAUUCAGAAGCAGUUUGGGACGGGCAUAGCAGCGUCAGACCUUGUCAAGCCUAAGCCAAGAUUUUGAUGAACUCAAAAUCUUAGGAUUUGGGGAAAACUUAGAGUCCAUAUUUCUCCAUAACCUAUAAAGUCUUUUUAAAGCUCUAACUCUGUGUGGCCAGACCCCUGUGACUGGAACCUCAUGACAGCAGGUAGAUGUAUUUACCCUGAAACCAAUGAAAUGCCAACAUGAAGUCCACACUUAAUUUUGUAUCUGUUGAUUCUAUUUCUUUCCUAAAGAAAGUCUCCAAAACCUGUAAACUUCUGGCCCUGAGCAAUCUGAGAUAGGAGCAACAAAUAGGAUAUUCUAGAGGACUAGCUAAAACUACUCCGUUUAAACUGAAAACUAGUUGUUCUUUUUAGCCCAACACUUACCUUUACCAAUCCCUCUUUCUGGAAGCUCUCACUUCUUUUUCUAAGCACAAGGUACCACCUCAUACCCUGUCGUCACGUCCCGUGACUUGAAAUUCUCCACCUGUGACAUCACAUCACCCUACUUCACGCCACUUGUCUUGCCAUGGUUUCACGCAUAUUUGCAUAUUUUAUUACUCUCUAACUUUCCCACUAAACUGGAAGGGACACGAAGCUCAUGUGACAUCCAAUCCUUUUCUCACCUCUGCAGUUCCAGGUUUGGCACAGAGCCUAGCACACAGUUCACACUCAGCACACAACUGUAGACGGAAUCAAUCAGGAACAUGCAAGAAAAGCUCAGCUACACACAUAUUCAAGGAGAACCGAAAUGUCAGUGUGAUGAGGAACUACAUUUUAGCUCAUUAUAAAGUACAUUCUCUGAUAAUUAUUGCUAUUCAACAGUGAAAUGGGCUAUCUUAAAAUGCAAAGAAUCACCAUUAAAAGUUCAUGUUCACUACCAGGUAUGCUGAAUAGGAAAAUUUUAUAGUGUUCGGAGUUGAACUAAGAUCAAGUAGAAAUCUUGUAAGUCUAUGGUCAUUGAAGCAUUUUUUGUGUCUGGCACUGAUGAUGAUCUGUGUGUCUGUGGAUAUAGUGUGUCUUUAACAUGGAAGACAUUAAGAAGAACUAAACAGUUCCUGUUGUACAUUUAUGUGCAAAGUAGGUUUAAUCAACACACAAGAGAAAGAACAUGCAAGAAAAUGACAACACAACAAGGGACCCAAAAUAGGACCUGUUGUCUCGACAAGUAAAGAAAAGACAGAUUGAAGUUCCAAGACACUAAGAUGACUAAAAUGUAC
ensembl:lncRNA